ensembl:lncRNA
UGGCCAUUGUAUUGUAUAAACUCAGUUUUGCCUUAUGUACUGUAUCUCCAUAUAUAUUUCUACCUUUCAUUACAUAAUUGCACCCACCUCCCCAUUUUCUCAACAAAAUAUAAAGGGUUGGCUCAAGAUUUUGUGCAGUAAUUUAAGUAUAGUAAUAGCUUCAGAAUUACUUUUGAGACUUUUCUUCGAAAGGUCAUCUUAACAGUCAGUGGUAGUUACCAGUAAAUAAAACUAGAGAAUAAUAGGCAAAAGCUCUCACAGAAAGCCUUUAUUUUGCUGACAUCAAUUUUUCAGAAACUUCUGGUGUCACGCCUGAGGUAAAAGCCAGGUUUUUUAAUAUAAUAUGCAAUUCACAUAGGUAUGGUGGCUUUUCACAGUUAUAUAUUACUGUUCACCCUAAGAGCCUGUGGUAGUUAAAGUAAACAAAACUAAGCAGAAUUUCUUACACAUAAAGUCGACAUCCAUUUUUCAGCAACAUAAUGUUGUGUCAACACGUGAAUGUGCAUUAUUUAUUAUUCUAGGAAAAAUGAAGUAAGGCAGUAUGUAACUGCUACACCAACAGCAGCAGGAGUUCUGUCUUUAGUCAUAAAUGCAAGAGUUCAAAGGUUCUGAUGCCUGUGGGAAAGAUGUGGAAAAACAAUCCACUCUGCUGAUUUCUGUGCUCUGAUAAGCAACCGCAUAUAUAUGCAAUACAUACUGUAUACAGUGGAAAUCUGCCUCUUAGGCAUAAACUUCUCCUGUCUAAAAAAAAAAAAAUCUCAAAAAUUGUAAACGUCUGCCAACUGUUAAUUAAAACUCAAAUAUUGGCUAGUUAACAGUAUAUGCAGUGCUAUGCAACCAACUUCUCCAGUGUGCAAAUGUGUAUGGAUAUUGUGGCAGGUUCAAACACCUGCAGAGCCUAAGCUAUAAAUGGCACAGAGAGCAGAGAAAGUACCAAACCAAUAAGUGAUAAAUCAAUAAUUCCUGCGUGCAAUAUAAACUCCAAACCUCAGCUCUAACCCAUUCAGCAUCACUGUAUUUCUGACAGUGAGAUGAAAAUGUUAACAAUAAAAUCUUCUAACAGCAACACAUCACUAACAACAACCACACGUAAGUGUCAAAAUGCAGAGGCAUAUUAGUUAAUCUCUUUAAUAUUCUGAGUUUGGCAAAGUAAUAAAUGAGUCAAAAAUGAAAGUGCAAAC